rnacentral:lncRNA from 1 species
GAGCCGGACAGGAUUCUCAAGUCGUGGGUAUGAACAUGCUGCUCUACAUGAAGCAUGGGUCUGCCAGAAAAUAAAGAUGGGGAGGAGCAUAGGACGAAAGAAAAGGUUGUUAGAGGCUCAUCUCCAACCUCAUUGCUUGGCAAAAGGAGUUAGAGUCUGCAGAGAAGCCGCAGUGCGGCAGGGAGUCUAGGAUCCCAAAUAACAGAUCUGGGAGAAUCCUGCCUCAGUACUUGGAUGCGCCUCCUGCCCAUGAGCCUGGUGAGCACAGAUCUGUUGGCAGUAACCGGCUGUGGGUAAUCACCCCCAACUGCUUCUUGGGCAGAGAUGGUUGGAGGGUUGUGAGUUAGGGAGACAGAAUGAAGGCCUUUUUUCGAAAACCAGCAACAGAGACAUAGGCCAUUAGAUGCAGGAUGGCUGCUAAGACAGGUAAGAGAAGACUUUAGUCACUCCUGAACUCUCAUAACCAGUUCACACUGCUCCUGCUCAUCCAUGCAUACCAGACCUGAAUGAAAUACCACAUGCAGGUCCAAGGACACUGCGGAGACAGGCACCCUUUCUGCAAGAGGGAACUGCAGACAGAAACACACAAAGAGAUGCUUUCCCACAGAGUUUACUCGUGUUAGCAGACAUGCCCACAUGGAUGCUGUCUCACAUACAGCAGACACCAUCUCUUACACACUUCCUGAUGGUCCAAGCCAGAUGACAAGGGACUAGGGAGUGGUACGGAGGUCGCUUGAAGGUGAGUAAGGAAAGAUUCAAGUAGGCAGGUGACCCUGCUCACCCCACCUUGAACCCAUUGACGUGAGAUCCAAAGAAUGAUGCUUGAAUGGAAAAAACCAUCACUAAUCUCCUCCCUCCUGGCUAUUUUGGGGGAGCAGCCUCUUGGUUUCCUGGCAAAAAGAGAAGCCAUCUCCAGCUCUGUGGGAAUGAAUGGGGAGGGCGGCUGGGGUGAGAAUUGCCUCCCGGGCAGGCUUGAGUGGAAAUAACUGAGUUGUUUCCAUUACUUCCAUUUCCUUGCCACCACCACCCGCCUGACCUCCGCAGUGUUAAAAGAGAUAAAUUCUUGCAGAAAACAGGGAAUCCCUUAAAUAUUUUUUCUUAUUACAAAGUAGAAAAUAUAGAAAAAUACAAAACCC